rnacentral:lncRNA from 1 species
AAAAUAUUUCCAAGCUUCCCUUCAUCAAUGGCCUCCACCACUUUCUCAAUAUCUUCUCCAGGGCUAACCUUCUUUGCUCCACUCAACAGUUGAGUCCCCACUUCAUUUCUCACGAAUCGGUAGAUUGGGUAAGUGCUGCAUUUCUUGAUUCUAUUUUCAAUUUCGAAAUCACCAUUCUCGAAUCUCCCUCUUGCAUUUUCAACAUCUUUUUCCAAUUUCGCCUUUAAUUCCUCGAGAAACUCUGGAAUUUGCUUGAAUAUGGCAAUCCCUGUUUCGUUUCCGUUAUCUGUUUUGCCUGUUGCAACUCCUUUCAAUGCUUUUUCAACUAGAACUUCUAGUAAUUUUGGGAUUAGGGUGUAGGAUGUGUUGGUGGGAUCGUCGAUGUAGGAGAAGACUUCCUCGCGCUCGAUUACUUGCAAGAGAUCUUUCUCACAAAAUCGUGAUUCGAGAAGUGAUCCAUACUCUGCCAUGUAGAGUGUUUUUCUGAUGGUUUGUAGAAGAGCAUUUUU